CUCUCUCUCUCUCAAAGAAUUUUAUUUGUAUGGUUAUUCUGCCUCUGUAUUUUGGUUCUCGAUCCAUGCCUUAUACACACGAAGACAAGGAAAGCGAGCAAAGCCACCGUGUCUGUUAUGUGCUUCCUGCUCUGAUCUGAAGCUUGCUCAUAACCUUCACGUGGAACAUACAUGCAGUGGACCUGAACCCAGUCGGAAGCCACAGAACAAAAUCUUGUUUCCUAAAAUCGCUCUUUAAUUUCUUUAAUUGCUAAUAUCCUGGCCAACUGUCCACUUGUGGGACAAAUUGUUAACUCCAAUGUAAGCUGACUGAUGGGCUAUGCAAGCUAUUCAGCUUGAUUCUAGGAGGAAGAAGUGCCUCCUGAGUGCAGUGCUUUGACAUCAGGCAAGUUCUAAAUUUGCACAGCAGUGAACAAAGGGGCACUGCCCACAAAGGGAAGAAGCAGGCAGGUAAACAGCAUUGAUCUGGAAUCUUAGCUCCUCCCAAGGAAUUGGCGGGAGGAAAGACAGGUCGGCUAUUGGAGGAGACACACUAGCUACUGUAGAACAAAGCUGCAGAUCUACAAAAGGAUUGGACCAGGCUGGAACCACUAAGCUGUGUCCCUUCAAUACACUCUAACCCUAAGGGUGGUGCUCAUGUCAUUCAAGACUCAGUAGCCAAUCAGAAACUCCACACGGAGCUGCCAGUCAGAAGAGGAGGUGGCUCUUCCGGGUACUAAGCCCUUGAGUUCCUCUCUUUAACUCAGGUGACCUGAGUGUUUCUAUGUGUUGCUUUCUUAGGUGUCUUCAGUGAGUGCUGGGAGGGUAAAUCAGGCAAGAUCAGAACUUCAGACAUGAAUUUAGUCACCUAUGAUGACGUGCAUGUGAACUUCACUCAGGAAGAGGGGGCUUUGCUUGAGACUUCUCAGAAGAAUCUCUACAAAGAUGUGAUGCUAGAGACCUAUAGGAAUCUCUCAGCUAUAGGGUACAUUUGGGAAGAACAUACAAUUGAAGACCAUUUUCAAACUUCUAGAAGUCAUGGAAGCUCUGGGCAGCUUCUACUGUCGACCUCUGUCUCUUCUUUCUGAGCUACCUGUCUGUCUGUACUGCACCUCCAAGCUCAAACUAUUUGAGACAGACAGAAAUCUUUGAGAAGGGCCCAUGGUAAAUCCAGACCAACAAGGAUGUCCGGAUCAACAUGGAGGAUUUUGGUGAUUCCCAGCACAUUCCAUGAA